GAAAGGUAUUGAUAAGAGUGAAAAUUCUAUCACAAGUCAUUUUACUAGCAUUGAAGACAUUUUUGAAGGAUAUGUCAUGUUGUAGUACAGAGUUUCAUUAUAGUUGAAAACAAGAAGUGAUUAGCAGUGCCUAAAAAAACAGAUUUUGGAGAAAGACUUAAUCAGACCAAUAUUUCAACUUGGUUCAGUGCUAUCCAAAAUGCUAGAAACUGUCAUAUGUAAAUUAAUUUAUUCUAACCUUAUAUUUAUGAACAUUUUAUAGCAGGAGAUAUAUUUUGCAGUGUCAAUACACAAAGGUUCUGGUUAACAAUCAGCUGGACAGGUUCAUUCAGUAGUAGGUUUAGAAGUACGGACUCAUUCAGUGUACAUCCCUUCAUUUCAGAUUUCCAAAGAUGAACUGUGUCAGGCUGUUGACGUGGACGCAUGCGGAUCCUGUUCAACUAACCCUCCAGAGGUAAUUUUGGUUUGAAACGACCAACAUAUUUUCUAAAAUAAAGUGAUUGAAAUGAUAUUUAGUACUGUUCAAACACACAGGACUUGUGUAAUACUUGACAUGUAAGCUGCAUAAAACGGGAGGACUGAGGUUUGAAAUUACAAGUACAGAAGAAUUGAAAGUUGCAUUUAGAAGCGCCCAUACACACAGGUCCUGUGUAAUACUCAACAUGUAAGGUACCAGAAUAAGGAGGACUUAGUUUCGAAAUUACAAGUACAAAAGACUGAAAGUUAAAUGUAGAAGCGCCCAUACACACAGGUCCUGUGUAAUACUCAACAUGUAAUGUGCUGGAAUAAGGAGGACUGUUUUCUACAUUGGGAACAAACUCAUAUUCAGUGAGUGUUCUUUACAUUUCAGAUUUCCAAAGAUGAAAGGUGUCAGGCUGGUGACGUGGAUGCAUGCGGAUCCUGUUCAACCAACCCUCCAGAGAUUUCCAUAGAAGAACCGUGUCAGGCUGGUCAUGUGGAUGCGUACAGAUCCUGUUCAACCAACCCUCCAGAGAUUUCCAAAGAUGAGCUGUGUCAGGCUGGUGAGGUAGAUGCAUGCAGAACCUGUUCAACCAACCCUGCAGAGCACAAAGUAAACACAGAGAUGGUAAGGGGAAAGAACUCAACAGAAAACUAAAACGGAAGGACAUAGAGCCCCGCAGAAAAUGAACACAAAUAAAAAUUCUGGUAAGUCACCACACCUACACAAGUCAAGAAACACCAAUCUACUUAAGCUCAAAAGCACAACUGAAGCAUGGUCAAAAGUAAUGAUCCACACCACUGAAAGGCAAUAGGAUGACCAUUUUCUUCUUUAUGCAUAAUAUUUUGAGCAGACAUGAUCCAAUAUGUCAUCUGGCUUAAAUUACCAUGCACAUACCAUAUAAAACUGUACCUUGUAUUAAAAUGAUAAACUUUCACAUAGUCAAUGUUCAGAUGCUAGAAAAUCUAAUUUAGUGAUGAGUAAUGGGACUGUUUAUACUACUUUCUCUAUGCCAAUCUUAAUCUGAAAUACAUUCACAUAGUUAUAUUUUUUCAAAGUAGCAAAGCACCACAAAACUGUAAUAAGCAAAGUAAUUGGAAUAUAUCUUUAAAUUUGGUUAAUUUUAAGAUAUUCACCAAAUUUAAGAUGUUAAAUUUGGUUAAUCUCUGGUUUAAGGAAAUCAGAGAUAUCAAUCAAUGGGCCUUUGCUGAUGCUGCACCUGUACAGAAAUGUAUUUUGGUGGAAUCAGUGAGAUGGUUCUGAGUGGGAUCUCUUUCACUGGAAAAAAGACUAGGAACCAGCAUGAGAAGGAAGAACAAGUCUUU